CCUACGGGAGGCAGCAGUGAGGAAUAUUGGUCAAUGGACGCAAGUCUGAACCAGCCAUGCCGCGUGCAGGAAGACGGCUCUAUGAGUUGUAAACUGCUUUUGCACGAGGGUAAAUGCAGAUACGCGUCUGUGUCUGAAAGUAUCGUACGAAUAAGGAUCGGCUAACCACGCUCCAGCAGCCGCGGUAAUACGGAGGAUUCAAGCGUUGUCCGGAUUUAUUGGGUUUAACGGGUCCGUAGGCGGUUAGGUAAGUUAGGGGUGAAAUCCCGGGGCUCAACUUCGGAAUUGCUUCUGAUACUGUUCGGCUAGAGAGUAGUUGCGGUAGGCGGAAUGUAUGGUGUAGCGGUGAAAUGCGUAGAGAUCAUACAGAACACCGAUUGCGAAGGCAGCUAACCAAGCUACGUCUGACGUUGAGGCACGAAAGCGUGGGGAGCAAACAGGAUUAGAUACCCGUGUAGUC
rnacentral:rRNA from 1 species